rnacentral:rRNA from 1 species
UACGGAGGGUGCAAGCGUUAUCCGGAUUUACUGGGUUUAAAGGGUGCGUAGGCGGGUUGAUAAGUCAGUGGUGAAACCUCCGAGCUUAACUCGGAAACUGCCAUUGAUACUAUCAGUCUUGAAUUCAGUUGAGGUGGGCGGAAUGUGUCGUGUAGCGGUGAAAUGCUUAGAUAUGACAUAGAACACCAAUUGCGAAGGCAGCUGGCUACACAAAUAUUGACACUGAGGCACGAAAGCGUGGGGAUCAAACAGG